GACGAACGCUGGCGGCGUGCUUAACACAUGCAAGUCGAACGGAAAGGCCCUGCUUUUGUGGGGUGCUCGAGUGGCGAACGGGUGAGUAACACGUGAGUAACCUGCCCUUGACUUUGGGAUAACUUCAGGAAACUGGGGCUAAUACCGGAUAGGAGCUCCUGCUGCAUGGUGGGGGUUGGAAAGUUUCGGCGGUUGGGGAUGGACUCGCGGCUUAUCAGCUUGUUGGUGGGGUAGUGGCUUACCAAGGCUUUGACGGGUAGCCGGCCUGAGAGGGUGACCGGCCACAUUGGGACUGAGAUACGGCCCAGACUCCUACGGGAGGCAGCAGUGGGGAAUAUUGCACAAUGGGCGGAAGCCUGACGCAGCAACGCCGCGUGCGGGAUGACGGCCUUUGGGUUGUAAACCGCUUUCGCCUGUGACGAAGCGUGAGUGACGGUAAUGGGUAAAGAAGCACCGGCUAACUACGUG
rnacentral:rRNA from 1 species